UUGAUUGCAAAGAGAUGCCUCUGAAAGACAGCUAUGGGCAGGUUGAGAGCUUGUGGGUGAAAGUUAAGGCCCACACCAAUAAAAGACACCUUGUGGUCAAGGUCUACUACAAGCAACCUAAUCUAGGGAAGCCUGUGGAUGAGGCAUUCUUGCUUCAACUACAAGAAGCAUCAUGCUCACAGGCUCUCAUCCUGAUGGGGGACUUCAACCACCCCGAUAUCUGCUGGAAAAGCUGCACAGCAGGCUGUAAGCAAUCCAGGAGAUUCUUAGAGUAUAUCAAAGAUAACUUU